rnacentral:tRNA from 1 species
GCGGGUGUCGUAUAGUGGUAUUAUGUGUCCUUGCCAAGGACAAAACACGGGUCCGAUUCCCGUCACCCGCU